UUGAUUCCAGUUGCAGAGCAAUCUGUGGCCAUACUUUUCCUCCCGAUGACCUGGAGGAACAUGCAAGCGAGUGUGGAGAGAGAAGUGCUGGUGAAAUCUGGGCUGCAAGUCUGGCUCAAAGCGGACCACCAAACUUUGGUGCUACAGGUCCUUGUGUGAUGGGCAGAUACAGAUUCAGUCUCUGAUGCGGGGUAUUCUCCCAGGUCGAGUCGGCCACGGAGGCUACAAUGACUGAACUGAUUGAGGACAUUUUGAGCUGUGGCUAUAAUGGACCUGUUAAUGUUGAAAAGAGGGAAGAAAUCCUUCGUGCACUCAAGUACACUUCUUUUUCACCUGGGAGAUGUCUUCCCAGGGUUUCACUGCGCUCUUUCCUGCUUCCCUGUGGCUGUUUGACAGAAGUCCAAUUAACACAAAAUCUUUGGAAGCAAAUACAACAUUGUGGCAUUACAUUGUGCUUUCAAUCACUUCACUGUGAAUGGAAGGUGGACUAAGGUGCCUGGAUACAAUCAUGAAUUAUUAAAAGCCUUAUAGUCCUCGGAUUGGC